GAGAGAGAUGGUCCAAUGUUCAGUAGCAUAUAGAGUCGACAGAGAUGGAACCUGAAAACAUAGUUAACUAGUGCAUCCCAUACCUGAUGGAAAGCUGCAAAUUGUAUUACCUGAAGGCUCUGUUUGGUUGCACGAGAUAUUGAAGGGAAAUGAAAUUUUCAAACUUUAAAAAGAAACUUUUGUAAUCAUAACGCCACUUGAUUGUAUCACUAACUCCAAAUCAUUCCAUAUUUCGUUAUUAAAUUUCACUUUACUUAGCAUCCAAAUCCCUUGGUUUUGAAAAGUAAAUUAAAAAUAACAUCUAAAAAGUAUCAUUAUUUAAUAUCGUAUGAAAUGUGAGUAGUUUAUGUAAUCAUGUGGGGUAAUGAUUCUGUCAUCUUGUAUGCAUGCAGUCAUUUCACAACCGUUGUCUCAUGAUUCUUGGAAUAGCCCUUGGCUGGAUCAGGCAUGUCGGUGUAUUUGGCUUGAUGGGAUCAGUAGAAGACCGUCUAUCCCUGGAAGAGGUUAUUAAGUGUUGAAUGUCGACAACAUGGACAUGAACAGAAUUGCUUCAUACCCUUGAGGUGACAAUCUUCUACAAUAUGAUGCUGAGGAUUCUCCCCUCCUAGCCCAAGUUUCAGAGGUUUUUCCACUAGUCGGUGAUUUAAACCCAGAGAAGAUGGAGAAACAAAGCCAAGAUUUGGCGAUUAGAAUUAUGAGUUACUCAAGUUGACACUCUAGCUGGGAAUGGGAUACGGACUGGAUGAGCUUUUCAGGUGCACAUGGUGGCGUAUUUUUGGUGCAAGUGUAUGUCAUAUGUUUCUUUUUGUUAAGCCAAGGAAAUUGGUUUUGAUGGAUGCUUUGUCUCUGAAAAUAUCCAUAUGCAUCCAAUUCAUGCUAGUUUACUGUAUUUUUGUUCCUUUGUAUAUUGGUCAAAAUGUAUAUUUCUUAGUUGCAGUGUCUGUAAUAAGAGAGUAAUUACAUUAUCUAGCUCUUUUCUAUUUGAAACAAGUGAAUCAGGUAUAGGAUCUUUGGAGA